AGCCCAUUAAGAAUGCUCGAGAAAUAGACCGGAGGACUCUGCUACGUGCAAUGAACAAAGAUAAAUCUAAAAGUUCAAUGAAAACUGCAGCCAAUGAAGAAAACAAGGUUGGGGAGUUAAUUUCCAA